rnacentral:rRNA from 1 species
CCCUUAGAUGUCCUGGGUUGCACGCGCGCUACACUGAUGUGUCCAGUAAGCACCUAACCUCUUCCGAAAGGAACGGGUAACCUUUGCAAAGCACAUCGUGAUGGGGAUAGAUUAUUGCAAUUAUUAGUCUUGAACGAGGAAUUCCUAGUAAGCACAAGUCAUCAGCUUGUGUUGAUUACGUCCCUGCCAUUUGUACACACCGCCCGUCGCUCCUACCGAUUGAAUGUUCCGGUGAGCUCUUCGGACUGCGCGGUCUGCAGUUUCUGCGUUCCGUGCGGAAAGUUGCGCAAACCUUAACAUUUAGAGGAAGGAGAAGUCGUAACA